UACGAGGAGGGCAAGCGUUGUUCGGAAUUAUUGGGCGUAAAGGGCGCGUAGGCGGUGCGGUAAGUCUGAUGUGAAAUCUCCGGGCUCAACUCGGAGUCUGCAUCAGAAACUGCAGUGCUGGAGUGUGGGAGAGGUGAGUGGAAUUCCCGGUGUAGCGGUGAAAUUCGUAGAUAUUCGGAAGAACACCAGUGGCGAAGGCGGCUCACUGGACCGGUAUUGACGCUGAGGUGCGAAAGCGUGGGGAGCAAACAGG
rnacentral:rRNA from 1 species